AGACUGCCACUGUGAAACGGGCGAAUCGCAACAAAGCUCAGAACUGACGUACAUUCUGGCCAUUGCACAGCCGGUCGUGCUGACCCCUGCAAAUUCCUCAAAUGUUGGAAUCUCGACUGCACAAUUUCUGGUAGUGGGGGACUGCGUUCGCGCUCUCCCCUG